rnacentral:tRNA from 3 species
GCCUGAGUGGUGGAAUUGGCAGACGCGACGGAUUCAAAAUCCGUUGUCCGCAAGGACGUGUGAGUUCGAGUCUCACCUCAGGCACCA